UUUCCGUAGGUGAACCUGCGGAAGGAUCAUUAAAGAGAAUAUGCCCUUCGGGGUAGAUCUCCCACCCUUUGUUUAUAUUACCUUUGUUGCUUUGGCAGGCCCGUCUUCGGACCACCGGCUUCGGCUGGUCAGUGCCUGCCAGAGGACCCAAAACUCUUAUUAUUAAUGUCGUCUGAGUACUAUAUAAUAGUUAAAACUUUCAACAACGGAUCUCUUGGUUCUG
rnacentral:misc_RNA from 1 species